CGGCUGAGUUCGUCUGGAGGGGCAAGAGGGGCUCUAGCCCCACCAGCCCAAUGCAAUGUGUAUUGGACUUGAAACAUUGAAAUGCGCAUGCUCAGAGUGUUUCUCUGUUGAAGUGGACGGAGAUUAUUUUACUUCCUGGUGGGGCUAGCCCCUCCGGGACCGCAAUGGACAUAUAUGGUUCGUUCCACUACAGCGUCAUUUCGUUUUUCAUAGUUCAUUGGGUGUAGGGUGAGGCACGUGAUGAGUCAUGACUCGAGUGACCUCCCACCUCACCUCACUUGCCGUGCGCAAGAUGUACGGUAGCAAAGAUGAGAAGAAGAAGAAGAAGGAUAACUUUGCUAACAAACAUGCCGGAGGCACACACACGAAAACGAAUCGACAACAUGAAUGUGGUAGAUCAUCUAUUGGAGCACAGAUUUGAGACCCUUAGUCUGGAGGAAAAAUUAGAGGUAUAAACGCCUUAUGUCUUGUGCUCUUCAGUCUAUUUAUGUUUUUCCAGUCUUAUAUGUUCCCACUGCUGGCCAGUGCUCUUGGAUGGCAGCGCUAGAGACCGGGGUUCAAGUCCUGGCACACUAGAUCAUUCGGCCUGAGUGAUGUCAUGUGGUCUGAGUGACAAACAUCAUUCAGACCAAGAGUGAGUGACAGAGUGAAGUCUGAAGAUUAAGGUUACUACAAUGUGUAUUUAAUGUCAUAUAUAACCUCUCUAUGACAUCAAAUCAUGUAAAAGCCCUACUUUGGGUGGUCAACACGGGAACCAGUCGUCUUCUUUUUUAUUGGUCGUUAUGAAAAAAAACUUAAGGGGUAACACCGUUGUUUUUUAUUGGUCGUCAUGAGAAAGAACAUAAGGGGUGUAACACUGUUGUUUUUUAUUGGUCGUCAUGAAAAAAAACAUAAGGGGUAACAUUGUUGUCUUUGUCAAAUAAAAU
ensembl:lncRNA